CCUACGGGUGGCAGCAGUGGGGAAUAUUGGGCAAUGGGCGCAAGCCUGACCCAGCAACGCCGCGUGAAGGAAGAAGGCUUUCGGGUUGUAAACUUCUUUUAAGAGGGAAGAGCAGAAGACGGUACCUCUUGAAUAAGCCACGGCUAACUACGUGCCAGCAGCCGCGGUAAUACGUAGGUGGCAAGCGUUAUCCGGAUUUAUUGGGUUUAAAGGGUGCGUAGGCGGUCCGUUAAGUCAGCGGUAAAAUUGCGGGGCUCAACCCCGUCGAGCCGUUGAAACUGGCAGACUUGAGUUGGCGAGAAGUACGCGGAAUGCGCGGUGUAGCGGUGAAAUGCAUAGAUAUCGCGCAGAACUCCGAUUGCGAAGGCAGCGUACCGGCGCCAGACUGACGCUGAGGCACGAAAGCGUGGGGAUCGAACAGGAUUAGAUACCCGAGUAGUC
rnacentral:rRNA from 1 species